rnacentral:tRNA from 1 species
GGCCCGAUGGUGAAGUGGUAACACGGGGGACUGCAAAUCCUCUAUGCGCGGGUUCAAUUCCCGCUCGGGCCU